UACGAAGGGGGCUAGCGUUGUUCGGAAUUACUGGGCGUAAAGCGCGUGUAGGCGGGCGUUUAAGUCAGGGGUGAAAUGCCAGGGCUCAACCUUGGAACUGCCCUUGAUACUGGACGCCUGGAGUCCGGGAGAGGUGAGUGGAACUGCGAGUGUAGAGGUGAAAUUCGUAGAUAUUCGCAAGAACACCAGUGGCGAAGGCGGCUCACUGGCCCGGAACUGACGCUGAGACGCGAAAGCGUGGGGAGCAAACAGG
rnacentral:rRNA from 1 species